GAUGAACGCUGGCGGCGUGCCUAAUACAUGCAAGUCGAGCGAACAGAUGAGGAGCUUGCUCCUCUGACGUUAGCGGCGGACGGGUGAGUAACACGUGGAUAACCUACCUAUAAGACUGGGAUAACUUCGGGAAACCGGAGCUAAUACCGGAUAAUAUAUUGAACCGCAUGGUUCAAUAGUGAAAGACGGUUUUGCUGUCACUUAUAGAUGGAUCCGCGCCGCAUUAGCUAGUUGGUAAGGUAACGGCUUACCAAGGCAACGAUGCGUAGCCGACCUGAGAGGGUGAUCGGCCACACUGGAACUGAGACACGGUCCAGACUCCUACGGGAGGCAGCAGCAGGGAAUCUUCCGCAAUGGGCAAAAGCCUGACGGAGCAACGCCGCGUGAGUGAUGAAGGUCUUCGGAUCGUAAAACUCUGUUAUUAGGGAAGAACAAAUGUGUAAGUAACUAUGCACGUCUUGACGGUACCUAAUCAGAAAGCCACGGCUAACUACGUG
rnacentral:rRNA from 1 species